UGAUGUAGUCGUCUGAUUUUUUUUUUGACACAGAAGCUAUAUUGCUGAAGAUGCCUACGGUUCAGCAGCUUAUGAUGAUUUACUUCAGCAGCUUUUGAUGUCUAUGGUUUACUGGAUUUGGUUCAGAUGGAAGAGCUCCAGGCUUAGGAAGGUUCCGAUUUACCUCAGGACAAGCAGGAGAUGAUGCGAGUGAAGGCACUCCCAUGUUUCAUAUGGUAUGUUCAGAACUUAAUUUUCAUGGUUUAUGG